UACGAAGGGGGCUAGCGUUGCUCGGAAUGACUGGGCGUAAAGGGCGCGUAGGCGGUUCGUACAGUCAGACGUGAAAUUCCCGGGCUCAACCUGGGGGCUGCGUUUGAUACGUGCGGGCUUGAGUUCGGAAGAGGGUCGUGGAAUUCCCAGUGUAGAGGUGAAAUUCGUAGAUAUUCGGAAGAACACCAGUGGCGAAGGCGAACUCACUGGCCCAUUACUGACGCUGGACGGCGACGAAAGCGUUGGGG
rnacentral:rRNA from 1 species